rnacentral:lncRNA from 1 species
CCUAGAGUUCAAUCCCUGGUACCAAAAAAAAAAGACACAUGUAAUAUAUUGAUAUACAGUGUUGGUACUAAGGAAAAAUUUAACAACCCUUUAGCUUCACUUGUUUUUAAUUGGGUUAAAAAGUCACUAAUUUGGAGGUCACAGAGCUGGGCAAUAAUAAUAGUCUCCUACUAGCUUUACUGUAGAUUAUACCUCUGAUGUAUAGGUUAUGAAGAUAAUGGUUACCUGUGUUAUUCUUCAGGGACCUGAAGGUAGUUUUUGCUGAAAACAUGUUGAACUCUUCGUUUGGGCCUGUGGAUGACUAGAAUGGAAUGGAAGGCUUCCUACUUCUUGCUUUCAUAUUGUGUCCUCUUUUGUUGCCUUAACCUUUGGGUCAGAUUCUGUUCAGCUUUGUUUACACAUAGACCUGUUGAACAUUUGAGAAAUAAUUUGUCCAAAAUUAUAAUAUAGGGUCAACUUGAACUAGACCUGCCUCAACUCUUCCCACCCCAAGGCUAAAGACACCUAAUAGCUACCAUGAGUAAACACCAAACCACGAAAGGAAUGACAACCAGCAGCACCUGAGUUCUUUGGAGAUCUCCACUGAUUCUCAGAAAUUCAGAAAAUUCAUUAUUAUUGCUUGCCUUUAUUAGCCUGUCUCCCUCAUCAUUCCUACCCUAAAUCUGUAGUCUCUUAAUCACUUGGAUUAGAGAAGCUGAUUUGUGAGCAGAGCUACAUUUUCUCCAUUAUUUGGCCACUGAAUAAAAUUUUCCUUUAUUCCCAAUACUAAUCCCUCAGACUUUUUUUUUUUUUUUGGUAGGAUUCGCAUCUGAAUUUGUAUAUGCUAAAAACAAGGGUAAGAAAGCCUAUGGAUGAUUUAGAGACAGAAUAGCCACAUUGGAAGAGGACAGAUAUUACCUAUACCACACUACACAAAAAUAAGUGGAUUAAAGAAAGGUUAAAAUUCCACAAGUACUACGUAAUGCUGAAGUAAUAGACAGGAAAAAGUCAUUUAUUAUUUUGUAAUAGAUGUGUCUCUAAGCAAGAUGUAAACUGCAAAAGUCCUAAGGAAAAAGUAUGAUGAAUAUGGUAAAUAAAUAAAAGAAAAUACUGCAGGGUGAAUGACACCAUGAACAAAAGUAACAAGGAGAGAAAAUAUCUAUCAUAUAUAAGAGACUAAAGAAUAAAGUUGGUUUCUUCAAUUUAGCAACUCUUAUGUUGGUAAAUAUUUGGAAAUUUAUAAUAACUAUUUUCACAUGAAAAUAAGCCCUUUCCAAGAUUCACGGCUGUAUAGAUUGCUUCCCUAUUUUGAGGGCAAAUUGGGUACAUCUAGCAAAAUUUAAAAUGCACAUAAAUGUCCAUC